ACUCCUACGGGAGGCAGCAGUGGGGAAGUCUUGCGCAAUGGGCGAAAGCCUGACGCAGCCAUGCCGCGUGGAUGAUGAAGGUCUUAGGAUUGUAAAAUCCUUUCACCGGGGACGAUAAUGACGGUACCCGGAGAAGAAGCCCCGGCUAACUUCGUGCCAGCAGCCGCGGUAAUACGAAGGGGGCUAGCGUUGCUCGGAAUUACUGGGGCGUAAAGGGCGCGUAGGCGGACAGUUAAGUUGGGGGUGAAAGCCCGGGGCUCAACCUCGGAAUUGCCUUCAAUACUGGCUGUCUUGAGUACGGGAGAGGUGAGUGGAACUCCGAGUGUAGAGGUGAAAUUCGUAGAUAUUCGGAAGAACACCAGUGGCGAAGGCGACUCACUGGCCCGUUACUGACGCUGAGGCGCGAAAGCGUGGGGAGCAAACAGGAUUAGAUACCCUGGUAGCGACUGA
rnacentral:rRNA from 1 species